UACAGAGGGUGCGAGCGUUAAUCGGAAUUACUGGGCGUAAAGCGCACGUAGGUGGUUCUGUAAGUCGGAUGUGAAAUCCCGGGGCUCAACCCUGGAACUGCAUUCGAUACUGCCUUGCUUGAGUACUGGAGAGGAGACUGGAAUUUACGGUGUAGCAGUGAAAUGCGUAGAUAUCGUAAGGAAGACCAGUGGCGAAGGCGAGUCUCUGGACAGUUACUGACGCUGAGGCACGAAGGCCAGGGGAGCAAACGGG
rnacentral:rRNA from 1 species